CGUAGAGGGAAUGAGUCAGGCUCCGGCUCCACACUGGCACGUAGUGGGCGGAUCGCGCCGGCGCUGAGUAGGAAGGAGCUUCAGCCGCCAGCCCGGAACGCAUCAUAGGUUAGCUUUUCAAGACACUUCCUGCAUCUCUGACCUGUUGCACCUCUGUUAUCUUGGCACCUCUGUUAUCUUAGCAGCAAGCACCUGCCUCAGCUGACCCUUGAGCCAUAACCCAUAAGCUCCUGAAAAGUACAUCAAGUCUAAAGUGAACCAGCUAACUCAUUAAGACUGGAAUCAUGAGCAACAAUGGAGCAGACCUAACCUUUGGUUACAUCUCCUGUUUUGUAGCUAUCCUUUUGUUUGGCUCAAAUUUUGUGCCACUUAAAAAAUUUGAUACUGGUGAUGGUAAUUAUUUUUCCUUGAUUGUUAACGUUAUAUUAUUUUUAAAAAUGAAGUUCCUUUUUUGGUCUUUUAAAAGUAUAGCUACAAAAAUAAAUCAUGUUGAUCUUGAUACCUAGUGAAUAGAGCUUAAAAUUAGUCAUUUGACAGUGCUCAUACCAGUUUGUCUGAAAGUCAGAAUAGGAGAACCAUUAAGGUUGUUUCAUGGUAAAGUUAGGGAGGGUACAGUCAGGAAAUCUCUUGGGCCAUUAUAUGAAUGGAAGAAAUUUAUAGUCAGUUCUACUAUAACACCUGUUUUGAAAACAUGAAUCUUCAACAUGAUUGAUAUAUUAGAGAACAAUGUAAGCAUAACAGAUUUUUGGCUUGCUUAUGUGCAAUUUUGUCCCUGAGAAACCUCUAGAUAGGCACAGAAGACUGCACCUAGAUGAAUAAAGAUGUGUGAUAAUACACAUAAUGCACGCAGACACACGUACAAUCUUCAAAUAUCGACCAGCUCCCUUAGUUCAUCACAUGUGGUUAUGAUGUAUUCCACCCAACCACAUCUCCUGUCCCAACUCCUCACCCAAUACCUUCACAGUAACUCGUAAGCUGCAACCCUUUGGAUGCUCACUUCCAGGAGCAAACUUCUGGUGUUUUUCAAUUAAAAUGCCCUAUUUAUUACAGCAUCAUGUAAUUAACCAGUUAACCAGUUAAAACUGUACUACUAUUUUAAUUAGGUUGAGUGUUGUUCUCCUAGCCCCAUUUUCCCAUUAUGCUCUGUAGUUUUUACUGCAUGAUUUUGCAUAGUGCAGUGAUUUCAAGGAAUGCACAUGUUACAUUAUAGCAGAACUGACUAAUGUGAAUUUUGGGGAAGGAGAAGCAAGAGUUAUUUGUAUUUGCCUGACUUCCAUAUUAAAGCCAGGAGAAGGAAUUGAGAUUUAUGGUGAACACAUGUUGGGAAUUACUUCCUUGGUAGUAUUUAUCACCUGACAGCAGUUGUGUUAUUUCCCCAAUUCUUUGUCUUCGUGCACUUAGAAAAUAGGAUUACCUCCUAUUUUCCUCCAGGGCCUUUCUUCUCUUUUCCUCUGGAGUUAGGACAAGAAUGGGAACUACCCGAAGAACAAAAAAAUGGGUAGAGGAUCUAGCUUUUUUAGUCUUCCACAAUUAGCUUUGUGAUCCUGGGCAAAUAUUACCAGCUCUGCUGUUUUCAGUUUCUCAUUUGUAAAGUGAACAACUUAUAAAAUGAAGUUUCUUUUCAUCUCUGUGA
rnacentral:lncRNA from 10 species